CCUACGGGGCGCAGCAGUGGGGAAUAUUGGACAAUGGGCGAAAGCCUGAUCCAGCCAUGCCGCGUGUGUGAAGAAGGCCUUCGGGUUGUAAAGCACUUUCAGUGGGGAAGAAAGCCUUGGGGCUAAUACCCUCGAGGAAGGACAUCACCCACAGAAGAAGCACCGGCUAACUCCGUGCCAGCAGCCGCGGUAAUACGGAGGGUGCGAGCGUUAAUCGGAAUUACUGGGCGGAAAGCGCGCGUAGGCGGUCUGAUAAGCCGGUUGUGAAAGCCCCGGGCUCAACCUGGGAACGGCAUCCGGAACUGUCAGGCUAGAGUGCAGGAGAGGAAGGUAGAAUUCCCGGUGUAGCGGUGAAAUGCGUAGAGAUCGGGAGGAAUACCAGUGGCGAAGGCGGCCUUCUGGACUGACACUGACGCUGAGGUGCGAAAGCGUGGGUAGCAAACAGGAUUAGAUACCCGAGUAGUC
rnacentral:rRNA from 1 species